rnacentral:rRNA from 1 species
GAUGAACGCUGGCGGCGUGCCUAAUACAUGCAAGUCGAGCGAACGGACGAGAAGCUUGCUUCUCUGAUGUUAGCGGCGGACGUGUGAGUAACACGUGGAUAACCUACCUAUAAGACUGGUAUAACUUCGGGAAACCGGAGCUAAUACCGGAUAAUAUUUUGAACCGCAUGGUUCAAAAGUGAAAGACGGUCUUUCUGUCACUUAUAUAUGGAUCCGCGCUGCAUUAGCUAGUUGGUAAGGUAACGGCUUACCAAGGCAACGAUGCAUAGCCGACCUGAGAGGGUGAUCGGCCACACUGGAACUGAGACACGGUCCAGACUCCUACGGGAGGCAGCAGUAGGGAAUAUUCCGCAAUGGGCGAAAGCCUGACGGAGCAACGCCGCGUGAGUGAUGAAGGUCUUCGGAUCGUAAAACUCUGUUAUUAGGGAAGAACAUAUGUGUAAGUAACUGUGCACAUCUUGACGGUAACUAAUCAGAAAGCAACGGCUAACUACGUG